UACGUAGGGUGCGAGCGUUGCCCGGAUUUAUUGGGCGUAAAGGGCGCGUAGGCGGCCCGGCACGUCCGUUGUGAAAUCGCCCGGCUCAACUGGGCGGGGUCAGCGGAUACGGUCGAGCUUGAGCAAGCUAGGGGGUAAUGGAAUUCCCGGUGUAGUGGUGGAAUGCGUAGAUAUCGGGAGGAACACCAGUGGCGAAGGCGGUUACCUGGGGCUUUGCUGACGCUGAUGCGCGAAAGCGUGGGGAGCGAUCCGG
rnacentral:rRNA from 1 species